rnacentral:misc_RNA from 1 species
AACCAUAGUUAAUUAAACUGUCUGGUGGAUAAAAAAGUUGUUUGAUUCCAUUAUUUUUGGUGAUUUCAAUUAUGCAAUUGGCAGAAUUGAACCCCAUGAUUUGCAUUGAAAGUUCCAUAUCAAUGGCUGAUAAGAUGUCCAUAAAGAAGAGAGCUGGAAUAUUUGGAUAAUCAUUCCAAGCCCAAAUUGUCUAAAGAAUCUAGUUUUCCUUUUG